ensembl:snoRNA small nucleolar RNA, C/D box 68
UGAUGACAAAUCUCCGGAAUCUCUGUACGUCUUUGAUGAUUCUCUUUGAACCCUUAUUGCUGAUGACUGUUGCGCAUUGCC